GUUUUACUGGACGGAGGAGGUCCUGCCUGCCCCGUGACCAUGUGUUUAACGGCCGCGGUAUUUUCACCGUGCGAAGGUAGCGCAAUCACUUGUCUUUUAAAUAAAGACCUGUAUGAAUGGCAAGACGAGGGCUUAACUGUCUCCUUUUUUAAGUCAGUGAAAUUGAUCUUCCCGUGCAGAAGCGGGAAUUCCCCCAUAAGACGAGAAGACCCUAUGGAGCUUCAGACACUAAGACAGAUCACGUCAAAACCCCCUGAUAAAGGACUGAACUCAAUGGUUCCUGCCCUAAUGUCUUCGGUUGGGGCGACCUCGGGGAAAUACAAAACCCCCGCGUGGAAUGAGAGCACCUCCCCCUCCCCCCAUUGCUCCCACAACUCAGAGCCUCCGCUCUACAAAACAGAAUUUCUGACCAAUACAGAUCCGGCAACGCCGAUCAACGGACCAAGUUACCCUAGGGAUAACAGCGCAAUCCUCUUUUACAGCCCAUAUCGACAAGAGGGUUUACGACCUCGAUGUUGGAUCAGGACAUCCUGGUGCAGCCGCUAUUUAGGGUUCGUUUGUUCAACGAUUAAAGUCCUACGUGAUCUGGGUUUCAAAACCGA
rnacentral:rRNA from 1 species